AUAAACCUGCUUUAUUAGUCUCAUUAUCAGUUCUUUUUAAUCAAACAAGGAGUUCCUCAACAGCUCAUGGCUGCUCACCUCCAACUCCUUCAAUUUUGUCAGUUGUCGACUUUAAUUUCUGAUAUAUAAAUGAUUUUUGAAGCCUGAAUUUUAAUUAUAUCUUUUUUAAUUUAUUCUUUCUAAAUUCUAAUUAUGUGUUUUUUUUUUUAUUUUUUAUUCUGAUCAAUAAUUAAUUAGCAGUAUCAAGAAUUUGUCAAAAAAAAAAAAAAAAUAGCAGCAUCAAGAAGACAGCAAGUCAAGUCAUUGCUGGACCCUAAGCUGCCUUAAGUUGCUUAACAUCCUAGUCAUCCUCUCUUUGCCUCUUUCUCAUUGCUGAGUGGCUUGUUACUGUUGCCUACUGCUAAUAUUGCUGCCUCGCCUGCUCCUAUCAGCCUGCUGCUAUUGUUGUCUGCUAACUACAUGGACUAUCACCACCAGGCAGUGUUGUUCUGCUGCUAUCUUUGCGCUGUUAUUGCUUGCUGCUAACUAUUUACGCGCUGUUACUACUAGCUGCUGUCUGCGCGCUGUUACUGCUAGCUGUUGUCUGGAAACUACAUAGACUUAUUUUGACUUUUCUUUUUUUGGAAUUUGGUGGUCUGAUCUAUAGAAUAAAGUUGACUUUCCUUUUGUUUUAAUUAUUAGAUUAAACAAACAAAUUGGUGUAAUUAUGGAUGUUUUUUGUAAGAAACUAUGAAAUUAUAUCAAUUGAAAUUAUUGUCUAUUAUUUAAUUUUA